rnacentral:rRNA from 1 species
GACGAACGCUGGCGGCGUGCUUAACCCAUGCAAGUCGAACGGAAAGGCCCUGCUUUUGUGGGGUGCUCGAGUGGCGAACGGGUGAGUAACACGUGAGUAACCUGCCCUUGACUUUGGGAUAACUUCAGGAAACUGGGGCUAAUACCGGAUAGGAGCUCCUGCUGCAUGGUGGGGGUUGGAAAGUUUCGGCGGUUGGGGAUGGACUCGCGGCUUAUCAGCUUGUUGGUGGGGUAGUGGCUUACCAAGGCUUUGACGGGUAGCCGGCCUGAGAGGGUGACCGGCCACAUUGGGACUGAGAUACGGCCCAGACUCCUACGGGAGGCAGCAGUGGGGAAUAUUGCACAAUGGGCGAAAGCCUGAUGCAGCAACGCCGCGUGCGGGAUGACGGCCUUCGGGUUGUAAACCGCUUUCGCCUGUGACGAAGCGUGAGUGACGGUAAUGGGUAAAGAAGCACCGGCUAACUACGUG